GGCUGCUGGGCGACCACUUCCUGACAGCUCCAGUUAAUGGGACUGCCAGCAGGCUAGACAUCCUUCGCCGGAAUGUGCAGCGCUUAGUUCUGUGCCCGGGAGGGGCUUCUCUCUCUUUUGGGAUUGGAGUGUGGCAUUGCCGCCAGAAAGCCUGCAGAAUUCCGGGUUGUGCAGCCAAGCAGGAACGGUGUACCUUUCUAGACCCAUCCUCUUGCAAUCUUGGACCCUAAGAAAAGAUGUGGAGUGGGCUGCUACCUCCUGGCCUAAAUGAAAGUGACGCUGAGUCAAACUCGGAAGAUGAAGCUACGUUGGAGAACUCUGGACUUAACUUACAGGAAGAUAAAGAGGAUGAGAGCAUCAGAAAAACAGAAAUCAUAGAUUUCUCAACAGAUGAACCAAAAACUGAAACAGAGUCAAAUGUAAAUGCCUAUGAAGAGUGUCCUUCUGGAAUUCCCAUAGAUAUGUGGAAUAAAUUUCAAGAAUUGCAUAAAAAACAUUCUGAACAGAAAAGCACAACCUCAAGAUUCAGAGGGAAAAGAAGAAAACGCUCCAGAAAAGGUGUUUUGUUUUAACUCAGGUUGUUCGUCGUGCUAAUGCUAAGUUGUGACUGAGUUUAACCAUUUUUUUAAAAUAUGGUUUUGAAAUUACUGAAGUUAGGUAUUGACACUUUGUGAAUUCUUUU
rnacentral:lncRNA from 1 species